UACAGAGGUCCCAAGCGUUGUUCGGAUUCAUUGGGCGUAAAGGGUGUGUAGGUGGCGCGCUAAGUCGGGUGUGAAAUUUCGGAGCUUAACUCCGAAACUGCAUUCGAUACUGGCGUGCUUGAGGACUGGAGAGGAGACUGGAAUUUACGGUGUAGCAGUGAAAUGCGUAGAUAUCGUAAGGAAGACCAGUGGCGAAGGCGGGUCUCUGGACAGUUCCUGACGCUGAGGCACGAAGGUCAGGGGAGCAAACGGG
rnacentral:rRNA from 1 species